UACAGAGGUCCCAAGCGUUGUUCGGAUUCACUGGGCGUAAAGGGUGCGUGAGGUGCUUGGUAAGUUUGAUGUGAAAUCUCCGGGCUUAACCCGGAAAUGGCAUUGAAUACUAUUGAGCUGGAGGUUUGGAGGGGGACUGGAAUCUCGGUGUAGCAGUGAAAUGCGUAGAUAUCGAGAGGAACACCAGUGGCGAAGGCGAGUCCCUGGACAACACCUGACACUGAGGCACGAAAGCUAGGGGAGCAAACAGG
rnacentral:rRNA from 1 species